rnacentral:rRNA from 1 species
CCUACGGGAGGCAGCAGUGAGGAAUAUUGGUCAAUGGACGCGAGUCUGAACCAGCCACGCAGCGUGAAGGAUGACUGCCCUAUGGGUUGUAAACUUCUUUUAUAAAGGAAUAAAACGAGGCACGUGUGCCUUUUUGCAUGUCCUUUAUGUACAAGGCUCGGCGAACUCCGGGCCAGCAGCCGCGGUACUACGGAGGAUCCGCGCGUUAUCCGGAUUUAUUGGGUGUAAAGGGAGCGUAGAUGGGUGGUUAAGUCAGUUGUGAAAGUUUGUGGCUCAACCGUAAGAUUGCAAUUGAGACUGGCAGUCUUGAGUGCAGGUGAGGUAAGCGGAAUUCGGGGUGUAGCGGUGAAAUGCGUAGAUAGCACGAAGAACCCCGAUGGCGAAGGCAGCUUACUAAACUGUGACUGACAUUGAUGCGCGAAAGUGUGGGGAGCAAACAGGAUUAGAUACCCCAGUAGUC